GUUGAGUCAGUUUAUGUUGAGUUUUGUGAGUCUUCUAGCCAAAGUAAUUGAUAAGUUCAGUUGUUGGAGCAUGCUGUUAGAUUGAAUAUGUGUGAUAACUUGAUCUUUCCCUACUUAAAAAUUGAGAGUUUGUGAUUGACAGUGUGUGUUUUGAUUACAUGAUGUCUGGAAUGACAAAAUAAGGGCGAUGAGUGAAUCUAAACUACAC
rnacentral:lncRNA from 1 species